ACAGUGCCAUGGCCGUUUGAGCUAAGGGACUGAAUAAAAACGAAGGCGCAGGUGACUGCGCCUUUUUU
rnacentral:sRNA from 1 species